UAGGGAAUAUUGCACAAUGGGCGAAAGCCUGAUGCAGCGACGCCGCGUGAGCGAAGAAGUUCUUCGGAACGUAAAGCUCUGUCCUUGGGGACGAAAAAAAUGACGGUACCGAAAUAAGAAGCCCCGGCUAACUACGUGCCAGCAGCCGCGGUAAUACGUAGGGGGCAAGCGUUGUUCGGAAUUACUGGGCGUAAAGCGCACGCAGGCGGCGUGACGCGUCAGAAGUGAAAUCCCCGGGCUCAACCUGGGAACUGCUUUUGAAACGGUCAUGCUUGAAUCAUGGAGAGGGUAGCGGAAUUCCGAGUGUAGAGGUGAAAUUCGUAGAUAUUCGGAAGAACACCGGUGGCGAAGGCGGCUUACUGGACUGUAACUGACGUUGAGGCUCGAAAGCGUGGGGAGCAAACA
rnacentral:rRNA from 1 species